GUGCUUGCUUCAGCAGCACAUAAUACUAAAAUUGGACUUAUACAGAGAUGAUUAGCAUGGCCCAUGCACAAUGAUGACAUACAAAUUCGUGAAGAGUUCCAUGUUUUU
ensembl:snRNA RNU6-1026P RNA, U6 small nuclear 1026, pseudogene